rnacentral:rRNA from 1 species
UAGGGAAUAUUGCACAAUGGGGAAAGACCCUGAUGCAGCGACGCCGCGUGAAGGAAGAAGUAUCUCGGUAUGUAAACUUCUAUCAGCAGGGAAGACAAUGACGGUACCUGACUAAGAAGCCCCGGCUAACUACGUGCCAGCAGCCGCGGUAAUACGUAGGUGGCAAGCGUUAUCCGGAAUGAUUGGGCGUAAAGGGUGCGCAGGCUGCGCGUCAAGUCUGAAGUGAAAGGUACGGGCUUAACCCUGGACCUGCAUUGGAAACUGUAUAACUAGAGUGUCGGAGAGGUGAGUGGAAUUCCUAGUGUAGCGGUGAAAUGCGUAGAUAUUAGGAGGAACACCAGUGGCGAAGGCGGCUCACUGGACGAUAACUGACGUUGAGGCUCGAAAGCGUGGGGAGCAAACAGGAUUAGAUACCC